AGACUCCUGUGAACCCAAAGGCCUCAUUUUUCCAAACCAGGUUGAUCCACCUUUGAAGUAAAGCGAGCAGAUAAAGCAGCCGAGAGUUUUAAUUUCGCGGUUCCUGACAGGGAAAGCUGUGAUCCGGCUGGAAGGUGGCAGGUUAGCGUGGGGUGAAGGGAUUGAAGCGACAGCCCCACCCGGCCGCGGGCCUCGGGGGAACCCAGCAGGUGCUGCAAAGUUCCUGGAAACCGCUCAAGUUCACCGAGAUUAAGAUAAAGCCGCCUUCUCGGUAGAUCUUUAACCGUAAACUGGAAAAGCUUUUACUUGAUUAAAAAAAAAAUGAGUGUCAUUUUUGGUCACGAUUGAGAAAGCAUGCUCGGGGCUGCCAAAACUGAUGCUUGUAUUCAGCAUGUUGUAUCUUCUCAAGGAUUCUAACGUCAUUGUUUUGUUCCACAUGAAGGAAUGAAGGUCAGAUGUGUCCAACGAAUGGAAACAGACAAGUUUGUACACAUAUUUCACAGCUCUGAUAUUUGGCUCGCUUGUGAGUCAUGUACUGAGUCGAGACCAUUUUAUGUCGGGUUUAUGUAAAGUUUUGAAGUCUGUGAAUAAGUAAAGACAGUAUUGUGGUGUGCUGGGGGCGGAGGGCUUGUUUUAAACAAAGUUGUUGCAACAUGCCCCAGCAGGAAGAGCAGUGUGGGAAACGCUCUCCUGCUUUGAUCCUCGGCUGCUCCUCGCAGAAGGAGCCGGUAUAAUUACGCCGUAGGUCCUCCAGGAUGGGUGGUAUGGGGGAUCUGCCCUCCUGUAAACACUAAUGGUGAGCAACACGCAGGAAGUUGUUCAGGAAGCUGUUUGGUUACCUGGUUUCUCAGUCUUUCCUCCUUGGUGUUGUGGGCAUCCGAGAUGUAGAGGAGAUUGUUUCUUCAUCAGAUUUGGAGAAAUGUAAAGCAUUACAUCACUUGCUCACCAAUGGAUCCUCUGCAGUGAAUGGGUGCCAUCAGAAUGAGAGUCCAAACAGCUGAUAAAAACAUCACAAUAAUCCACAAGACUCCAGUCCAUCAACCCUGAAGCCAAAAGCUGCAAACAAAUCCAUCAUUAAAAUGGUUUAACUUUAAUCCGUCUCUUCUGGUCAAAAUAUGAGUCUAUUAUCCUUUUGUCUUCUCACAUCAAAAUUCACCCACAUAUUUGUUUAGAGCUGUUUUGGACUGCAACAGUGCUUGCAUAUUUCUCACCUGAUUCAGAUGAGGUGACUUUUGGAGAAAACAAUAUUACAGAUAGAGGACUCAUUUGAAAUGAUAAACAUCUUAAUGGUGGAUUUGUUUCUUACAGACAUGCAGCUUUUGGCUUCAGAAGACAUUAAUUGAUGGACUGGAGUGGUGUGGAUUAUUAUGAUGUUUUAAUCAGCUGUUUGGACUUUCAUUCUGACGGCACCCAUUCACUGCAGAGGAUCCACUGGCUAAAUUUCUCCACAUUUGUUCUGAUGUAGAAACAAACUCAUCUACAUCUUGGACGGUGGUGUGUAAAUUCUCAGCAAAUUUUUAUUUUUGGGUUAACAAUUUCUUUAAGAUCCUUCAACUAACCAAAGAAUAUAAAAACAGCUCACUUGAUACCAAAUAACUAAUAUCGCUCUUUUAUGUGCAUGAAUGAAGGCACUCAUAAUUUGAUGUGGCAAGUAUUCAAAUACACUUUAUAAGGAGUGUCUAAACAAACAUUGGUGUAGCAAUAGACAUCAGAUCCAUUCAUUCUUCUAAUACAGUGUCAAUAUCCCACUGGCAAAAAUCUCUCAUUAUUCACAAAGGGGUGUUAGGAAUGAAAUGGCAAAUCAAUAUUUGCUCCGUCAAUGUUUAUUAAUAGUCACUUGACAUUUGCUUGUGUGUUUCUUUUAGUUAUGGCUUAAAAGUCCUUGCGCAGGUGUGGCCUGUAUCAAUAGCAGUUUUCCUUUUCUGCUGUACUUAUAAAGUAUUUAUAUUUUGCACAGGAAAUGACAUGUGUGUUCAGUGUCUGACAGGUGUGUAUGUGGCUGAGUUGAUAAAGGGGGUUGUUUUGGAUUACUUUGAGUAUAUGAGUAUUUAAAGCAAGCGAGAUGUUCCGUUCCUGUGUGCUUUCGCCGAUUAAAUCGUCCAAUUACAUUACAGUUGUGUUUUCAGUAGGUGCCUUCAUGCAACACUCAUUUCAGUAGUGAUCAAUGGCAAAUCAUUGAUUUUAAUGCAAGCUUGUUAGUAC
rnacentral:lncRNA from 1 species